rnacentral:tRNA from 1 species
AGGCUUGUAGCUCAGCUUGGUUAGAGCACACCCCUGAUAAGGGUGAGGUCGGUGGUUCAAUUCCACUCAGGCCUACCA